AAUCUUUAUGUUCCUUUAUUGGAGCAAGAUUCCUGACGUAUACAGUGAUGUAUUUACUAAACAGAGUCCUGUGCAGAAAUUACACACUAUCCAUCUAGACAGAUUUUGGUUACACUUUGCCUAUUGAUGGAGUAGUUCCAUUUAUAAAGUUUUAUACAUCAGAAAGCUUUGAAUUUGACCAGGCUGUCCAUUAAUCAUCUCUGAAAAAGUGGCAUUGAAUUUUAGCUCUAUUUUACAGCAUUAAAAAGCUUACGCAUCAGGUAGCUUCCCAAACAUUAUCCUCUGCCCGAUGGCGCUGAGCAGACAGCUCUUCAUCCACCUACGUCAGUCUCACAUCUGAGAGCUUCUGCUACAUACCUGUGACAGACACUACCAACCACCUCACUGACUGCUGACCCUGACAGUUCACACUGCCAAUGAGGACACGUCAGCGGCUGUCCCUCAUAGAUGGCACAGAGCAACGGGUCAGUAACGGUGGGAGCAGGUAGGUGCUGCCGUGAGGUCCGGGUAAAGGCCCAUUUUAAAAAGAAAAUGCCAAAUUGAGAUAAAAAUCAAGGGUAUAAGUCCACAGCAGCAAGCUGUGCCCACAACUCAGUACGGAGACGUUAAGACAUGAUUCAAAUCCCUUUCUCAAUCUGCACAGCCCUGAGGUCAUCCUGCAAAGUGCGUAUCAAAAAAUACGAAGUUGGGGAGACAAAGUUUGACGUGAUGUCAUUAUGCAGUCAAACUUGGAAGGUCUGUUGAGCAUCUGUUGACAGAAAAGCAUCAGGUCCUUUGUGUACACACUGAUUUUAUUGUAACAAAGCAACUUGUACACUUCAACAUUUAAAAUGAGCAUCUUUUUCCUUCCAGUGAAAACCAAAAAAAAAAAAAAAAAAAAGAAAAAGAAAAAGAAAAAAAUUAAAAUUACAACAGAAUGUCAACUCCAAAUAAAACCAUACAGGUUCUGCUGAUUCUCCCAUUGAGUGUCAGGGCUCAAGUCAUCAUCAGGAGAGAAUUUUAUUUUAAGUGUCACCUUAAAUUGCAAGGAUGUCUGUUAAACCACACAAUUAAACAUGCCAAAGGAGAAGCCAUGUUGUCAGAUGCCCACCUACCCCAGACACCUCAAACCCACCCUUGCUCACCGUCUAUACCCCCCCUUUUUUUCUUUUUUUUUUUCUUUUUAUUAAACAAGAGAAAGUAGACAGAUACAUGUUGGUAAAUGCUAACUGUCUGUAUUCACAUAGAGACACAGUGUAAUCUCUGAGCCCAAUAUACAGAGAAAAGAAGAAAAGCUAAAAUUCUAUAAACUACUACACAGGGGCCUAGCGCCCUCCAGCAGAGCCAAGGGAACUGGAGGGCUUUUCUUUUUUCCCACAGAGCAUGGUGGUGUGGAAUCCACAAAUUUAGACAAGAAAGGAUAAAAAAUGAAUUAAGAACAGAAACGGAGAUUCUUUUCCUGUUGUAUUUUGCUCAAGAUACUUCCCCCCAAAUUAAUUGAGAACCAUGAUGUUGAGACCUCAAAACAGGGCGACUGAGCACAGAGGGACAGGGAGGAAAGGACUGCAACUUGCUCCCAGGGACUGGAGAAAAUUAAAAAAUAAAAAGAAAAUAAAAAAGAAGGUUGGAAUCCAUCAGUCUUCUGUGCUAAUCAUCCUCGCCUUCCCCCUCCUCCUCUUCGUCGUCGUCAUCAUCAUCUUCUGCCUCUCCUUCUUCAUCAUCCAUGUCGGGAACCUGAGAGCAGCAGGCAAUGUUCUUUUAGGGACUCAUUCAUUCUAUUGGACACAUUACCUCUUUCAAGCCACUGACGCUUACUCACCAGGUAGUACUGCAAGGGAUUUGGCCAGAUGUCAUCUUUGAUGACCUCUCCUAACUCAUCAGCACCUGCGUCAGAAUGGUCAGUAAACCAGGUAAAGAAGCUCUCUGGCUCUUCGUGCUGCCUCUUCCUGCUGGCCUUAUUUUGCGUUUGACUUGAGCGUUUUGUCAAAUCCUAAAUGAAGACAAACAUUCCCUUUAUUAGCUCCCCAUAAUACCCAAACCCCACAUAAAGUACAACAAAGACCAGUGAAGAAGUUCAUAUUACUAAGAACUAUAAAAUGUCCAUUUGGUAAAGUCUUGUAAAUUGCUUUCAUAGGAUACACCUAUCAACUGUCUGACU
rnacentral:lncRNA from 1 species